rnacentral:rRNA from 1 species
UACAGAGGUCUCAAGCGUUGUUCGGAUUCAUUGGGCGUAAAGGGUGUGUAGGUGGCGCCGUAAGUCAGGGGUGAAAUCCUGGAGCUCAACUCCAGAACUGCCUUUGAUACUGGCGAUCUCGAGUCCGGGAGAGGUGAGUGGAACUGCGAGUGUAGAGGUGAAAUUCGUAGAUAUUCGCAAGAACACCAGUGGCGAAGGCGGCUCACUGGCCCGGUACUGACGCUGAGGUGCGAAAGCGUGGGGAGCAAACAGG